rnacentral:rRNA from 1 species
CUGCAGCCCGAGUGGUGAUCGAUUUUAUUGAGCCUAAAGCGUCCGUAGCCGGACUAGUAAACCCUUGGGUAAAUUGGGCAGCUUAACUGUCCAAAUUCCGAGGGGACUGCUAGUCUUGGGACCGGGAGAGGUCAGAGGUACUCAAGGGGUAGGGGCUAAAUCCUGUAAUCCUUGGGGGACCACCAGUGGCGAAGGCGUCUGACUAGAACGGAUCCGACGGUAAGGGACGAAACCCUGGGGCGCGAACCGGAUUAGAUACCCCAGUAGUCC